ACUUAAUAGUUCCUAAUAGGAACUUUCAUACAUUUUCAAACUUAUUAAGUAUCGGCCGGUUGCCCUAAAUCUAAAUAAAUUAUUUAUUUGAUAUUUAUUUUCACCUUUUCCAAGAGUCAAAACACCAAAAAAGAAACCUUAAAACCUGACAAAACAACGCUUUUUCUACCAAUAAAACACGCCAAACUAUUUAAAUCAAUUUUCACUCCAUUUUGACUCUGCAGACAUAAAAGAUAAAAAGAGAUUUAUUUAGCAUAUUAUCUAUUAUCAUAUAUUUUUUUUCUAAUAUUGUGAUUUGAAUAGAACAUUUUGAAAAAUUUACCAUCUUUUUUAUGGCUUGUAAAGUUUGAUUGAAGCUGAGAAUGCAGAUGUGUUAGACUGAGAAUGAUUUUUUCCUCAAUCUAUUGCUUUACCAGCCGAUACUUAAUCGUUCCUAAUGGGAACUUUCAUACAUUUUUCAUACUAAUUAAGUAUCGGCUGGGUUCCCUAAAUGUAAAUAAAUUAUUUAUUAAAUAUUUAUUUUCACCUUUUCCGAAAGCUAAAACACCAUCAGAAUCCUAAACCAAACCUCAGAACCAGAAAAGACAACAACUCUACCAUUCAGCUAAAAAUGCAAAAAGUAAAACAACAAUAUCUUAGGUCCAAAAAAAGCUGGAAAAUAAAUAAUUAUUUUUAUUUAAAAACAUUAAACCUGAAAAUAGAAACAAAACAAAAUUAAAUUAAUUAAAUAUAACAAUCAAAUACAUUGUUAAAAUAAUAACAAUGUAAUAAAACAAAUUACAACAAAAAUUCCACACCACAUCCUUAUAUCGCUUCAUUCUCUUUUGUAUUUUCCAAAAUUUCAAUUUUAUCCACUGUAGGAAUAAAUUAAAUUUCUGAAAAUAAAAUAAAAAAACAUAGCAAUCAAUAUUUGAUAAAUCAAAAAAAAAAAAAAUUAUAAAAAUUAAAAAUAAAAUUUUAUUCUUACGGAAAAAUGGACCCUUCCUCUCUGGCGUCUUCUGGCCAAUUGGAAAGCAGUUCUCCUCGUCAUUAUUAUAUGUUCUUGAGGAACAUAUAUGAAUCCAAGGUUAGGCUGAAGAAAAAGGAAAUAAAUUCAAGAUUUAAGAACAAUUUUUUUUCAACUUACGAAGACAUGGGGUCCAUCGCCAAUGAGUUCUAUUGGAAGCAACUGUGGUAAUUCUGGUGUGCUUACCAAAUUAUUUUGCCUCCUGAACCAGUUUCUUGGAUUGGUCCACGCUCCGAAUCCAAACUAAAACAAAAUUCUUUUAUUAUUUAGCCAUUUACCAUCAUAAAUUUUAAAAACUUACAUUUCUAAAAAAUGCAUUCUCCAAAUUA